ACGCGAAGAACCUUACCGGGGCUUGACAUGGUAGAAGUAGAAUCCUGAAAGGGUGACGAUCGGUAUCCAGUCCGAAGCUAUCACAGGUGUUGCAUGGCUGUCGUCAGCUCGUGUCGUGAGACGUUGGGUUAAGUCCCCUAACGAGCGAAACCCUUGUCUUUAGUUGCUAACGGGUAAUGCUGAGCACUUUAGAGAGACUGCCGUCGUUAAGACGGCGGAAGGUGGGGACGACGUCAAGUCAUCAUGGCCCUUAUGUCCCGGGCUGCACACGUGCUACAAUGGUCGGUACAAAGGGAUGCUAAGUCGCGAGAUGGUGCGAAACCUAUAAAGCCGAUCUCAGUUCAGAUUGGAGGCUGAAACUCGCCUCCAUGAAGUUGGAAUCGCUAGUAAUCGCGGAUCAGCUACGCCGCGGUGAAUAUGUUCCC
rnacentral:rRNA from 1 species